rnacentral:tRNA from 1 species
GUUCCUGUAGUUGAGAGCAACGAUGGUUUUUCAGACCGUAGGCCUUGGAUAAUACCCAAGUAGGAACU